rnacentral:lncRNA from 1 species
AGAGCUAAUGUGCCAACUGCUAAGUGACUUGCCGCUGGUCCCACAAGUGUGCUGAUGCCCUCAUGGUCCUCAACAUGGCCUCUCCUUGUAGCCUGCAUACAACAGUCUCCUGGCUUUUCUUUCUUGGCUAGUUACAGAUGGCCGCUGCAGCCUCGGUAGAAGAGGAGAUCUGAGCCUGAAACUCCUUUAAGAAAGCUGCUACUUACCAGUACCACCUGUGACUGGCUGUCACCACUCCUACAGUCUCUGCCAGCACUCUCUGCCAGCCACUCUCCUGCGGUCGUUCCUAUCUUCGAGGAAGAGUGGAGAAUAUCCUUUUAAAAUCUGGAUCCUUUUCCCCGUGGAAGAAGGUGGAGGGUAAAUACAGCAAUGUGCUCAGACGGCUUGCCCCGGAUCAUGAGCCUUGGAGGGUAUGUGUGGGCAGGGGCGGGGGUAUGUACUAUGUGUGCACAUGCCUAUAUUCAAAUGUGCUUCCAUACUUACUGUUAGGGAUCUUUCUCUAUCACAGUCCGUUUUUCUGUGACACUUUUCCUGGCCAAAUCUUAAGCCCACCCUUUCAUCUAAGAUGACUGGCUAGAGAGCUCUUGAGAUCUAUCUGUCUCUACACGUCCCAUCCCCCACCCCCAACCUGUGGUUACCUGCAUGGGCAGCCAUAGGCUUUACAUGGGUGCUGAAAAAUCAAACUGGGGUCCUUUUGGUACAGCAAGCACCCUUACCUACAAACCUGUCCUACCAGGCCCAGUUUGCAAGUCUUUUACAGACCUAUUUAGCGAGUUACUCAUGGUGCUAAUGAAUACAUCAACAACAAAAUGAACAAAUGCCACCGUGAGCUAAGGUCCUUCCGGCUCUCUUUAGAAAGCUGGUUGUUAAACAUUUACCAGCACACCACAAUCAGGCAAGCUACCAGGACUUCCUGCUGCAAAAGGCUCCCCUCCCCCCUUCAUCAGUUAUUUCUGACUUGUGAGUCCGUUGUAUUAAUGAUCAAGCAGAUAAACUUUGAAGUGUUCACCAUAAUAUGCCCCCUUCUUCCUUACAUAAUGGUUCUAGGCUCAUCCAUUUUUAUUGACUUCUAUUCUUCCCUUAGAGAAUGUUCAGCGGUCUUUGCUAAGUAUGUUAGUAGAUCCUUACAGCUGUUGACAUUUCUGUUCAAGGGAGUUGUUGUUCUUUUGGUUUCUGUUUGUUUGUUUUUAGGCUUUUCUAGACAGGAUUUUUCUAGGUAGCCCUGGAACUGACUCUGUAGACUAGGCUGACCUUGAACUCACAAAGACCAGCCUGCCUCUGCCUCCCGAGUGCUGGGACUAAAGUGUGUACCACCACCACCAGGCUCUAAAGGUUUUUUGGUUUGUUUUUUUUUUUUUUAAAUAUCCUGAAAUACUAUUCUAGUAAGAUUCAAGCACGCUCAGAAAAUGCCUCUGAUUUUAAGUUCAAGCUGUCACUAAGACAAUUCAGUUUUCUAAGUGAAGGGGUAAUCUGACUCAAGCAUGUCACACCAUUUAAAAUGAUUUCUGCUUUCAAAAACCAUUCCUGUGCCUUUACCCAGCACUUUGGAGACAGAGGCAGGCAGAUCUCUAAGAGUUCCAGGUAAGUCUGGUCUAUACAUUGAGUUCCAGGCCAGCCGGAGCUAUGUAGUGAGACCUUAGCUCGAAAAAUAAAACUAAAAUAAUCUGAAAAAGGUAUGACGUGCAAUGUUGUUUUACCUUCGUAAUAAGGAAAAGGUGUGGCCUGGUGUUGCUGUUUGUUUGUUUGCUUGCUCUGCUCUGCUCUGCUCUGCUCUGCUCUGCUCUGCUCUGCUCUGCUUUCUGGUACGGUGAAAGUUAAUUUCAGGGAGGAGGCUUCAGGUCAGUUCCAGCUCAGAGCCUCUGGAACCCAUAACUGAAGUUCAUGUGGGUGUUGAGGGCCAUUUCCAGAGCUAGGAGGCUAUUGUGGGGGUCAGAGCUAGGGGACAAUAGAGGGUCAUUGCUGGGUCUAGGGAGAUCAUCAUGAGGGGGUUCUUGGGUGCUGAGGGGCUACCUGGAGGUUUCACUCUGUAGCUCUGGCUGCCCUGGAACUUGAUGUAUAGACCAUACUGGGCUGGAACUCACAGAGACAUGCCCACCUCAACAAUAGGACUUACCUUCCACCUCUGGGGAGCAGCCAAUGACAAUCGCAACAGUCUGUUUGGGGAAUCUGCUGGACAAUCUUGACCAAUAAUUUGAAAGGGGAACUCUCACACCUGGUGUUCCGGUAUUUCAUAGAUGGUCUUUGACUCUUAGUGGGAACAUUUUAGGUACAGAUGGGAAAUUUUCAUUUAAACUAUCUAUGCUUAUUUGUACACUGAUUUAGAGGUGUUAUUGGCUUUUUUAGGCAGAUAGCUAAUACUAUGACCCCUCAUGACUUGUUCAGACAUUCUCACUGUUACUUUAUGUGCCCACCCCUGUCCCUAUUUAGACUCCCACUCUGCUGUCCCCAUUUUCUGCUUCAGAGUACGAGUGCCUUGCUACUCCCCACCCCAUUUACCCUUUAGGCCUCUCUAUUGCCCCUUUAACCCCUGCAAUGACCCCUUUAUUCCCCUCCAGCCCCUCCAGUGGCCCCUCUAUUGUUUCCCCGGCCUUCCAGUCCCCCCUAUUCCCUCUUAGCCCGCCCCAAAGACUCCCAAUCCCCACAAUGCCCCCCCAGCUCCUGAAAUGACCCCCUUAGUCUCCACAACAGUCCUUCAAUGACUCCCUAGUCCCCACAAUGCACCCACCCCUAUAAUAGCCCCCUAGCCCCUGCAAUGCCCCCGCUAUUGCUUCCAAUGCAAUGACCCCUUUUUACUUUGCUGGUUUCUGUAGUUACUCUAAGUUGAAAGUGUAAAAUUUAGUAUGACCCUUCACAGCUUCCAUUCUGUCUCAGUCAGGGUUUCUAUUCCUGCACAAAACAUUAUGACCAAGAAGCAAGCUGGGGAGGAAAAGGUUUAUUCAGCUUAUACUUCCACAUUGCUGUUCAUCACCAAAGGAAGUCAGAACAGGAACUCACACAGGGCAGGAAGUUGGAGGCAGAAGCUAAUGCAGAGGCCACGAAAGGGUGCUGCUUGCUGGCUUGCUUCCUCUGGCUUGCUCAAAUUGCUUUCUUAUAGAACCCAGGACUACCAACCCAGGGAUGGCACCACCCACAAUGGGCUGGGCCCUCUCUCCUUGAUCACUAAUUGAGAAAAUGCCUUACUGUAGGAUCUCAUGGAAGCAUUUCCUCAAGGGAGGCUCCUUUCUCUGUAAUAACUCCAGCUUGUGUCAAGUUGACACACAAAAACAGCUAGUACUCAUUCCAAAUGCCAAUUCUAACUUAUUUUCAGUGUGUGUUAUUUUUAUUAUUUGCAAGGAUUUUAUUUUAAAAAUUCAUUUAGAAAAGCAAACAUAUAUGCAAACAUUUGCUUACUCCCCUAAGUGUGAGGUUGAACCAGAGAGCAGAGGUAGAAAUCUAAGCGAGACUAUGCGGUGUCUUGAAAGACGUGGUCUUAGCCCGGUGGCCAGCUUGGCCUGCCUGUCAUACACCUCCAGCUAAGCUCGGUCUCCAGCAGCAGUACAGGGGCAGAGGAACACACUAUUUCAUAUGGGGUUGGACAAGCAGGACCUCCCUCACGGGAUGGUGUCUUCCUCCUGGUAUCCUCCAGGAUUGCCCACUCUGUAUCAACACUCACCUGAGUGUCUCAUUUCUCUAGAGAAAGAUUAGCAGUGCACUUGCCCAUCCAAGACAAACUUAGCAGGUUGGUUUGUUUGUUUGGUUUUUACCCAAAUGAACUCAGGGAUAGUCUCAUUUGUCUAAAUAAAACUCUCUAAAGAUUGGACUUUUAGAAGAUCAAAUUUGUUUUAAUUUUAUUUAUUUAAAUCAAAUUUAAAUUUGUCAUGGUUGUAUCAUCCCAAAAGCCAUUAGCAUUAGAGAAAGAAUAGAUGAAAAAGUUAUUAGAGGAAGUCCUGACAAGAGAGAGAGAACAAGAUUUUAUCUAGUGAACAUUUAUUGAGUUCCUGUUGUAUGCUAGACACAGCCUUGAACUGUCUGUGUUGUAUAAAGGCUUCAUUCUGGAUUGUUGGUUGUCGCUGGGGACACAAUGAUCAAAGGACAUAGGUUAAGACAUGGUCAUUUAAAGUGUCAGAAGAAUCACACUGUGAGUAAUAAGGAUGUCAAAGCCCAGGCAGGGGUGUGUGUUAGUGACCAGAGGGCUUCCCUGAGUCCUCUGAGCUGAGGAAAGGACAAUACAGAUGCCAAACAAUCCUGCCUGAAUCCUCGCCAGGACUUCAGUUUUAUUCUGAACACAAUGUGAAAUUAUCAUAUGGUCUAAUGUGGAGGAGGAAAGCCUGGGGUUACCUCUUCAGAAUUCUUAAUAGAAAAAUAAGAACUACCAAAAAAAAUGUAUUGACUCCAAAAGUCCAUGGCUAUUAAAUCUGAAUGCUUUAUAUAAAGCCACGAGAGAAACAACAGAUGGGAAGGCUUCCUUCCAUACAGAGCAGCUGGGAAUACUGAUUGUCUUGGUCAGACAACUGACAAAGCUACCUGAGGGAGGCAAGGGUUGUGCUGGCUCACAGUUUGAGGGAUACAGUCUUUCGUUGAGGAAGGUCCAGCAGCCAGAAUGUGAGGCAACUGGUUAGAUAGCAUCCGUAGUCAAGAAGUUCAAAGAGGGGCUGGUGAGAUGGCUUAGUGAUUAAGAACACUAGCUGUUCUUCCAGAGGUUCUGAGUUCAAAUCCCAGCACCCACAUGGUGGCUCACAACCAUCUAUGAAGGAAUCUGAUGCCCUGUCCAUCUGCCUUUUUAUUUAUUCACAAUUCACCCCAGUGGGAUGGUGCCACCGACAUUUAAGAUGGGUCUUCUCACCUCAGUGAACCUAAUCUAGAAUCUCCUUCACACAUAUACCUUGAGAAUUAUCCCCUAGUUUUUAGAGUCCAUCUAGUUCACAGUCAAUAUUAGCCAUCACACUCAGGAAGGCCAAAGCAGGAAUGGUUUUGGCAGGCCUAGUGAGACUGGUGGGUGGAUCAGAAACAGUGGGGAAACAUGACUGGAUUAAUGAGAACUUCAGCUGGAUUGUAGUUAGAUAAGAGGUAGAUGGUUGUCUUCUUAUGGUGGCCUGUGAACUUCAGGAAAGAUCAUUUAUCUUCUUCUUCUUCUCCUCCUCCUCCUCCUCUUCCUUCAUCAUCAUCAUCAUCAUCAUUUUAUUUUUGUGCUCUCAUGCUAUGGCAAGGGUAAGGAAGUCAGAGAAUGAUGUACUGGAGUCUGUUCGAUCCUAUCACGUACACUCUUCCCAAGGUCAAACUCAGGCUGUCAGACUUGGCAGCAAGCACCUUUAUCCACUGAGCCAUCUCACUAGCCCCAGAAAAAAAAGUAGUUUUUAAGAAAUGCUCAUCACACAUUUAUAUUUCCCAGCUAUUCUUACCAUAACUAGAAAAUGAAGAAUAAACUAUAAAUAUGCUCCAAUAUCUUCCAUAACAAAAUACAUACAUAAAACAUUCUAAUCAAAUAUAGUAUGUGCCUUAAGGCUUUGUACUCCAGCCCUGUUUUCUUUCUGCUCUCUGCUUCUUACUUGUACAUUGUAAUGUGACAAAACUUUUCCUGGGGAGACACAACAUUAACAUCUAAUCACCCAAGAUCAAAGUACCAUUAAAUUCCAGCUUGGUGAACCAAUGAGCUUAUUGGGGUUACUUACAGGGAUAUGGGUGAAGGGUUACUUAUGGGAGCAGAAAUGACUCAAAGACAGCUGCAUCACCAAAGCCCACUUCAGCAUGGGUGACAGCUCACAAACCUGGGAACCUGGAGCACACUGCACAGCCUGCAGGCAGCUCAACAAGCUGGAGAGUGUCCUUUCCAGGUAUCUCGGUUGGUUUGGUUUGAGGCUCCUUUGCAGCUUGCCUUGUCUGAAAGUUUUCUUGGCAGCUCUAUUUGUCUGAGAGAGACUCUCAGCUUUUAUUGGUUACUAUAGCAGGGAGGGGCCUAGUGAAUCUGGUUGGUUUCAGGGACUUCCUGAAGCUGAGUUGAGCUGUUUCCGUUCCUGCUUAAGGAGCUUCCUGAAGAUUGGCAUGUUUUAAUCUUGGAGGAAAUGUUAACAUAACACACGUGCCCAUGUACAGCCACCCAACAAAUGCUCUUCCCACUAAGAUGGGCUGCAUCCCUCCUUAUACUAUGAAUCAAAAUAAACUGUUCUAUCCAAAGUUUCUCCUGCCAAGAUGUUGUGCAAGGGUAAAGAUGAAACAGAAAUUGAAGGGAUGGCCAACCAAUAACUGGCUCAGCUUGAGACCCAUCCCAUGAGCCAACCCCCAGUGCUAUUUAUAAUACUCUGCCAUGCUUGGGGACAGAAAGCUAGCAUAACUGUCACCUGAAAGACUUCAAUCAGUGACUCAGGGGAACAAAUGCAGAGACCUACAACCAAACAUUAGGUGGAGCUUGGGAGAUUCUAUGGAAGAAGGGUUGAAGGAGCCAGAGAGGUCAAGGACACCACAAGAAACCUACAGAAUCAACUAACCUGGGCCCAUAGAGGCUCUCAGAGACUGAACCACCAACCAGAGAGCAUUCAUGGGACAGACCUAGGCCUUCUGCACAGAUGUAACAGCUGUGCAGCUCGGUCUUCAUGUGAGACUCCUAACAGUAGGAGCAGAGGCUGUCUCUGACUCUGUCGCCUCCCUUUGGAUCCCUUCCCCCCAAGUGGGCUGUCUUGUGUAAGUCUCAAUAAAAGAUCCACCUAGUCUUACUGCACCUUGUUAUGCCAAGGCUGGUUGAUAUAUCCAUGGUUGGCACCCCUUUUCUGAGGAGAAAGG